CUGAAUGCAAGAAAGUUGAAAAGGUAAGUUAUCCUUUCUUUCCUGGCAAUAUACGUAUAUCACCCAAGAUAUUUUGCUGGACUUCUUGGCUGCACCAGAAAUACCCUUGGUCAUUCUUGCUUUACUUCUUUGUUUUCUUCCUUCUUUGUUCUUAUUGGUUGCACCUUUAUCUCUUCUUUGACUUUCUCAAGCUCUAGGACACCCCAUAAACUCUCUUGCUCUCAUUUUAUCUACGUAUACACAUACAAAUCAGAAAUUUCAGCUCACUUGCUCUCUUUUUCUCCCAAGGAAAGAGCUAGGAAGCUCUCUUAGGUCCACUUAGUCAAGUCCAUGGGUCAACAAAUUAAAAGAGAGAUAAGGCUUCAUCAUCUUUUCUUCUUUCUACUCUUUUAGAAGCAACUAGAAUAGUUAAGAGCUCUCUCCCUCUUUCAUUCCUACGGUUCCAACACCAAAAGAAGGAAAAGCUCUCAAUUAUUUUCUCCCUUUCACACCUACAUGUCCAGCAGCAAGAAGGAAGCUUCUUCAACUCUCUUAAGCUCUCUACCUCUCAUACUUUCUGGUCCAGCCACUAGGGAAGGUGUUACCAGUAUCCAAGUUUAAGCUCCGUUGAUUGUAGGCUCUUGGUUCCUCUGCUUUCAGGUAAGGGAUAAGUAUAUGGACAUUUGGUAAGUCAUGAGGUUAUUUUAAAGUAUAUUAUGCAUUAAAAUGUUUUUGAUUAGAGAUAUGACAUGUAAUCAUUAUUCUGACAAAGACAUGUUCAUGAGCUUUCAAAAAACUUAUAUAUAUGAUUUAAGCAUAUUGAUGCUAUUAUUGAUUUCACGAACAUUAUGUUUAAAGAAAAGAAUGGAAAUGCUAUUAUUAUGAAAUGUUAUGCAAAAUUUCAGUAAGAUGUAAAGUAUGAAAUAUUUUCAGGUUAUGUCCUCUGGUAAUCUGAACUCGGCUAGUAGGGGUUAAUUACUGGCUUUCCAUGGAAAAAUGUUAUAUGUUUGGCCAUUUAAAGUAGAGGAAAUGGGGCUGCCCGUAACUCUAGGCCAUUUAAAGUAGAGGAAAUGGGGUUGCCCGUAACUCUAAUCUGACUAAGGCCUUCUCCCCAAUGUGUACGGACGGCGGGGAGGAACAAAACCUGGAGGAGAUGUGCCAUCAGGCCUCCCAAAGGGGACAAUAUCAUACACACGGGGGCACCCAAAUGUGAUGAGGCCUUCUCUGUACAGACUUAUUAGAUAUGGACUAACCAAUAUGAUAUGAACAGCUAUGUUAUGUUAUUAAUCAUAAGAGAAUUAUUUUGUUUAAAUGCAUUAUGAAAAGUUAAAAGUUCUCAUGAAAAUAAGAAGUUUCUGAUGAAAAGAAAGCUGUUCAUUAAAGAUAAAAGUUUCUGAAGUUCUGUUGUACUAUAAUGAUAAAACUUCUGAUGAAAAUACAAGUUUACGUUUAAAAGUUAUCAGAUAUCUAUUUUUAUGAAAUGUUAAGUUUUAUGACCAUGAAAGACAUAUUAUUUUAUGAAAAGAAGUUUAUAAAGAAAAAUUUUCUUAUUAGUCAAGAUGUUUCUAGCUUAAUACAAAGUUGUCGAUUAUCUGAUUUAAGUUAAAUUAAUUAUUUUGUAAUGAGAAUAUAUAUAUGGCGACUUUGUAGGAAAUGAAAGAAGUUUAAUCCGAAAGGUUCGGUAAUAUUGACCUGAUAAGAAAAAGGAGAACAAUUAUUUUCUAUGAAGAGCGUAUAAGCUACUAUUAUAAAUAGUAUAAAAUACUAUGCAUGAAAAAAAUGUUCUCCUAUUCGAAUAUUCAUAGAAUGAAAUGAUUUGAUUUACAUGCAUCCUUAUUGAAUUCUCAUAUAUCUUACCUUUACUGAGCUGUGUAGCUCACUCCUUCCACUCUUUCAGUUAGCAAGUUUGAUUUUGGAGCAGAGGGAGCCUUAGUCGAGUUUUGGAAGGGGCUGGUUUAGUUUUAUAUGUAUAGAUCCUAAAUUAGCAAUAUGAUAUUUAGAUUUGUAGCAUUGUUCAUUUUAGGAUCUAAUAAAAGUGUAUACCUUAAAGAAUUAAGAGAUGUAUUAUGUGAAAGUGUGGAAAUUAAAUGAUUGGUGGAUUAUGUUA